AGUGAACGCUGGCGGUAGGCCUAACACAUGCAAGUCGAACGGCAGCACAGUAAGAGCUUGCUCUUACGGGUGGCGAGUGGCGGACGGGUGAGGAAUACAUCGGAAUCUACUUUUUCGUGGGGGAUAACGUAGGGAAACUUACGCUAAUACCGCAUACGACCUACGGGUGAAAGCAGGGGAUCUUCGGACCUUGCGCGAUUGAAUGAGCCGAUGUCGGAUUAGCUAGUUGGCGGGGUAAAGGCCCACCAAGGCGACGAUCCGUAGCUGGUCUGAGAGGAUGAUAAGCCAGACGGGAACUGAGACACGGUACAGACUCCUACGGGAGGCAGCAGUGGGGAAUAGUGGAAAAGGGGCGCAAGCCUGAUCCAGCCAUACCGCGUGAGUGAAGAAGGCCUUCGGGUUGUAAAGCCCUUUUGUUGGGAAAGAAAAGCAGCAGGUUGAUACCCCGCUGUUCUGACGGUACCCAAAGAAUAAGCACCGGCUAACUUCGUG
rnacentral:rRNA from 1 species